CUUCAGCGUUAUUUACUGCUAUCAUUACUGGGCUUAAACAGAGAGUGACGGGUGCUGGCUACUCUGUGCAUAUGUGUAAGAUAAUCGUUAAGAAAAUACAGUCUGAGAAUAGGCACAAUAAGUAAAACAGUAGAAAGGUCGUGGAUCUGGAGGGUCAGGAUUCCACAGGGAAGCCUGCGGUGCUCUCGGGGAUUCCGUGAACCCAUGCCACUGGAAACCCUGGGUCAUUGACUGUGUUUUCUGAAGGCCUUUCAGAGGUCCCCGAUGGCGAGGCGAUUUUACCAAAGGCUCCAGAAGAAGGUCCCGAAGAUGCAGUUGUGGCGACCCACCCGUGACCGCUGCCGCUGCCCCCCUCCCGAGCCCCCCCCCCGGGUGGCACCUGGGCAGCCCGAAGCCGCCGAUCAGGAGGCACCCUUCUUCGAGCGAGGAGAUAAAAAUCUUGGCAAAAAGAGCACUUAAGGAUGUGAACCCUGCGGAAAAUUCCACUUCCUUCACAGCACCGCCUGUCCUUGGGUCCCUCGCUCGUUCCCAGGCACCCAACGAGGGGUGUCUGCCCCAGGUUCCCACACCAACUUCCUAAACAAACGCCGUGCCGCAGAGCCCCCCAGCUCGCUGCUUCUGCAGCUCAGCGCGCUCUCCCUCCUCUCUUCCUACUUCCCUCCAUUUUAUUUCUCCGCUGGUUUUUCUCUUCAAGCAGACUCCCAACUCUCUCUCCUGCUGAACUUGCCGGGAACAAAAGGCUCCGUUCCAGAUCCAGCCCGCAGUUGCCGUGAGAAACUUCCUCGGCAGCGCCGCUGCCGCUCCACUCUCCUCCCUCCCUCCUCGGGAAAAUGGCAGUGCAAGAGCUUCAUGAAAAAGGUGAAAAAACCUCCUUUCUCGGCGCCUGCCUCUCCCGCAGCAACCUCCCCCCCACCCCAGUCGUGACGCCUGAACUCAAACUUCUCUAAAAAUACACUUUAGAAGGACAGAAUUUCACGGGAGUGAAUAUUUCAUAUAUAUAUAUAUGUAUAAUUUUUUUUCACACUCCACUGAAAAGAGCAGCUGAGGGUGGGAGAAACCCGGCGGACCCACCUCCCGCAUGGCAUCGCCGCUUCCCAACUACUUGAAACAGAAUAAUACUUCUGCUUGACUGGGAAAAUCCAGGCCCAGAGUUGAGGUCUUUCUCUUUUCGCAGCUUUAAAAACCUCUUGUUUUGUUUUGUCUUGUUUUUUAACUCUUCCAAGCGAGGUUUGCAAUGUAACCCGCUUGCUCUGCGAGCCCACCCGACAGGUCCCGAAUCUGGUGGGAUUCAGUAGGAAAUGAGCCGGUUGGCUCCUGAUCCAGUGCAGGGGGGGUUUAGAAACUCCGGUCCGUGUUUUGUUUGAAUUUUUUUUUUUGGCCUUUUUUUUUUUUUGUAAGUAGAUUUACUCUUCCUUCUCCGACGCUCAGCACCCCAGCGCUCGUGUCCGGGGGCGGCUGGGCCGCCCGGGGAGCGCACCCGCGUGUAUAAAAUAAACGCGGUUUACUCUU